rnacentral:rRNA from 1 species
GACGAACGCUGGCGGCGUGCUUAACACAUGCAAGUCGAACGGAAAGGCCCUGCUUUUGUGGGGUGCUCGAGUGGCGAACGGGUGAGUAACACGUGAGUAACCUGCCCUUGACUUUGGGAUAACUUCAGGAAACUGGGGCUAAUACCGGAUAGGAGCUCCUGCUGCAUGGUGGGGGUUGGAAAGUUUCGGCGGUUGGGGAUGGACUCGCGGCUUAUCAGCUUGUUGGUGGGGUAGUGGCUUACCAAGGCUUUGACGGGUAGCCGGCCUGAGAGGGUGACCGGCCACAUUGGGACUGAGAUACGGCCCAGACUCCUACGGGAGGCAGCAGUGGGGAAUAUUGCACAAUGGGCGGAAGCCUGAUGCAGCAACACCGCGUGCGGGAUGACGGCCUUCGGGUUGUAAACCGCUUUCGCCUGUGACGAAGCGUGAGUGACGGUAAUGGGUAAAGAAGCACCGGCUAACUACGUG